GACCAACCUACCUAUACGAGGAAGGGAACGUAACCGGACGAAGUCGGACUAAUACCGCAUAAAACAGGGGCACCGCAUGGUGAUAUUUGUUAAAGAAAUUCGCUGAUAGAUGGGCAUGCGUUCCAUUAGGUAGUUGGUGAGGUAACGGCUCACCAAGCCGACGAUGGAUAGGGGAACUGAGAGGUUGGUCCCCCACACUGGUACUGAGACACGGACCAGACUCCUACGGGAGGCAGCAGUGAGGAAUAUUGGUCAAUGGGCGAGAGCCUGAACCAGCCAAGUCGCCGUGAAGGAAGAAGGAUCUAUGGUUCGUAAACUUCUUUUGCAGGGGAAUAAAGUGCAGGACGUGUCCUGUUUUGUAUGUACCCUGAGAAUAAGGAUCGGCUAACUCCGUGCCAGCCGCGGC
rnacentral:rRNA from 1 species